rnacentral:rRNA from 1 species
GACGAACGCUGGCGGCGUGCCUAAUACAUGCAAGUAGAACGCUGAAGGAGGAGCUUGCUUCUCUGGAUGAGUUGCGAACGGGUGAGUAACGCGUAGGUAACCUGCCUGGUAGCGGGGGAUAACUAUUGGAAACGAUAGCUAAUACCGCAUAAGAGUAGAUGUUGCAUGACAUUUGCUUAAAAGGUGCAAUUGCAUCACUACCAGAUGGACCUGCGUUGUAUUAGCUAGUUGGUGAGGUAACGGCUCACCAAGGCGACGAUACAUAGCCGACCUGAGAGGGUGAUCGGCCACACUGGGACUGAGACACGGCCCAGACUCCUACGGGAGGCAGCAGUAGGGAAUCUUCGGCAAUGGACGGAAGUCUGACCGAGCAACGCCGCGUGAGUGAAGAAGGUUUUCGGAUCGUAAAGCUCUGUUGUAAGAGAAGAACGAGUGUGAGAGUGGAAAGUUCACACUGUGACGUAUCUACCAGAAAGGGACGC